AGUGAACGCUGGCGGUAUACCUAACACAUGCAAGUCGAACGGCAGCACAGUAAGAUCUUUCUCUUACGGUUGGCGAGUGGCGGACGGGUGAGGAAUACAUCGGAAUCUACUUUUUCGUGGGUGAUAACGUAGGGAAACUUACGCUAAUACCGCAUACGACCUACGGGUUAAAUCAGGAGAUCUUCAGACCUUGCGCGAUUGAAUUAGCCGAUGUCGGAUUAGCUAGUUGGCGGGGUAAAGGCCCACCAAGGCGACGAUCCGUAGCUGGUCUGAGAGGAUGAUCAGCCACACUGGAACUGAGACACGGUCCAGACUCCUACGGGAGGCAGCAGUGGGGAAUAUUGGACAAUGGGCGAAAGCCUGACCCAGCAAUACCGCGUGGGUGAAGAAGGCCUUCGGGUCGUAAAGCCCUUUUGUUGGGAAAGAAAAGCAGCAGGUUAAUACAUCGAUGUUCUGACGGUACCCAAAGAAUAAGCAACGGCUAACUUCGUG
rnacentral:rRNA from 1 species